CAGCAGCCACGGGAAUACGUAGGUGGCAAGCGUUGUCCGGAAUUAUUGGGCGUAAAGCGCGCGCAGGCGGUUUCUUAAGUCUGAUGUGAAAGCCCCCGGCUUAACCGGGGAGGGUCAUUGGAAACUGGGAGACUUAGAGUGCAGAAGAGGAGAGUGGAAUUCCAUGUGUAGCGGUGAAAUGCGUAGAUAUAUGGAGGAACACCAGUGGCGAAGGCGGCUUUUUGGCCUGUAACUGACACUGAGGCGCGAAAGCGUGGGGAGCAAACAGGAUUAGAGACCCCAGUAGUCCCUGUCUCUUAUA
rnacentral:rRNA from 1 species